AUUAUUCCGCCUUUUGUGGCAUUGGUGUUUGAUACGAGUAGUCUCAGCCUGUGCAGCAUUAAGUACAACCACGCUUUCUGCGCCCCCAGGUGGGAGGAUGCUCCGUUCCGGGAGAGCCUCCUGGCCGUGCGCGGGCAUUCCCGUGAUGUUGCCAAGGGGUAACAAAUUAAUAAUACCGGAAUGAGAAUGUAUUAGUAAGUAUAAGGGAAAGAGAGAGUUAAGCUUGAGGCAAAAAAAAAAAAAAAAAAAAAAAAAAAAAAAAAAAAAAAAAAAAAAAAAUUGAUUAAGCAUUGGUAAUAAAAGGCUGAAAUUAAGAGGCUGUGAGAAAGAGAAACCAACAGCAUUUCAUAGUUUGCUGAAGACAAUACCAAAAUUCCUUCUAAGGCAGUAACUUUUUUUUCCCGCCCAGAAGUACUUGGAUGAAAUAAUACAUGUUUUUGUUAAUAGUAUUCUGUUUUUCAGUGUUUUUCUGAAAGCUGCCAGCCAUUGAAUUUGGAUGGAUUUGGAAGUUAAAGGAGUUGCUGCAUCCCCUCGAAGAAAGGCUGAGCUGUCAAUGAGGGGGAAGAAAUAUCAGAAGACAAGACCAGAAAACCUGCCAUCCCUCAGAGACAGAUCCAAGCUGAAGCACGGUCAGUAUGAAGGAGGUACAAAGGAAGAAUCUAAGCAGCAUCCUCAGAGAAUUGCAGAAAAGAAAAAAGACCACCUCCAGUAUCCAGACACUUCCAUAAAGGAGUUCUUCCUUUAUAUGCACUUCUGCAAGCCCAUCAAAAGGAUAUUUACAGGAGGAGCCAAGUUAUCUGAAAAUGAAGAAAUAGAUGGCAAAUGUAUGCUGGGAGAGAAAAAGCAGGACUGGAUUUUUUCUUUUUUUGGUGAUAUUGGGUUCCAGAAAAAUGCUUGCUAAGCACUAGAAGCAUGUGUGUUAAUUCUUCUCACAGAUUUUAAUAUAAUGUCUAUCAGAACAGGUUUUUUGUGUUAGAUAUUAUCACUGCCUGAUUAGAUGAAUAAAUAAAA
rnacentral:lncRNA from 1 species